rnacentral:rRNA from 1 species
AUACGUAGGGCGCGAGCGUUGUCCGGAAUUACUGGGCGUAAAGGGCGCGUAGGCGGCGCUUCAAGUCGUCUGUCAAAUGGGAGGGCUUAACCCUUUUUCGCAGACGAAACUGGAGAGCUUGAGAAGCAGAGAGGCAAACAGAAUUCCUGGUGUAGCGGUGAAAUGCGUAGAUAUCAGGAAGAAUACCAGUGGCGAAGGCGGUUUGCUGGCUGCAUACUGACGCUGAAGCGCGAAAGCCAGGGGAGCAAACGGGAUUAGAUACCCCGGUAGUCCUGGCAGUAAACGAUGUAUGCUGGGUGUGAGACUAGCGAUAGUUUCGUGCCGAAGUUAACGCGAUAAGCAUACCGCCUGGGGAGUACGGUCGCAAGAUUGAAACUCAAAUGAAUUGACGGGG